UUGAGAGUUUGAUCCUGGCUCAGGAUGAACGCUGGCGGCAUGCCUAAUACAUGCAAGUCGUACGAUGGAUGUCUAGCUUGCUAGAUUGAAGUAGUGGCGAACGGGUGAGUAAUACAUAAGCAACCUACCUAUAACGUCUGGGAUAACCUGUGGAAACGCACGCUAAUACCGGAUAGGUAAUAAGAAGGCAUCUUCUUGUUAUUAAAGGUUUGAAACGCGAAUAGAUGGGCUUAUGUUGCAUUAGUUAGUUGGUGAGGUAACGGCUCACCAAGACGAUGAUGCAUAGCCGGCCUAAGAGGGUGAACGGCCACAUUGGAACUGAGACACGGUCCAAACUCCUACGGGAGGCAGCAGUAGGGAAUUUUCGGCAAUGGGCGCAAGCCUGACCGAGCAAUGCCGCGUGAGUGAUGAAGGUCUUCGGAUUGUAAAGCUCUGUUGUAAAGGAAGAAUGUUACGUAUCGACUACGUAAGUGACGGUACUUUACCAGAAAGUCACGGCUAACUUCGUGCCAGCAGCCGCGGUAAUACGAAGGUGACAAGCGUUAUCCGGAAUUAUUGGGCGUAAAGGGUGCGCAGGCGGUUUAUUAAGUUUAAGCUUAAAUUGUGGGGCUCAACCCCAUCCAGGCUUAGAAACUGGUGAACUAGAGUGCAGAAGGGGCAAGUGGAAUUCCAUGUGUAGCGGUAAAAUGCAUAGAUAUAUGGAGGAACACCGGUGGCGAAGGCGGCUUGCUAGUCUGUAACUGACGCUCAGGCACGAAAGCGUGGGGAGCAAAUAGGAUUAGAUACCCUAGUAGUCCACGCUGUAAACGAUGGAUACUAAGUGUUGGGGAAACUCAGUGCUGUAGCUAACGCAAUAAGUAUCCCGCCUGUGGAGUAUGCACGCAAGUGUGAAACAUAAAGGAAUUGACGGGGGCCCGCACAAGCGGUGGAGUAUGUGGUUUAAUUCGACGCAACGCGAAGAACCUUACCAAGUCUUGACAUCCUUGGCGAAGCUAUAGAGAUAUAGUGGAGGAUAUCCGAGUGACAGGUGGUGCAUGGGUUGUCGUCAGCUCGUGUCGUGAGAUGUUGGGUUAAGUCCCGCAACGAGCGCAACCCCUAUCUUCUGUUACCAUCAUUAAGUUGGGGACUCAGGAGAGACUGCCGGUGAUAAACCGGAGGAAGGUGGGGAUGACGUCAAAUCAUCAUGCCCCUUAUGACUUGGGCUACACACGUACUACAAUGGUGACUACAACGAGUCGCAAACUUGCGAAAGUAAGCUAAUCUCUUAAAAGUCAUCUCAGUUCGGAUUGAAGUCUGCAACUCGACUUCAUGAAGUUGGAAUCGCUAGUAAUCGCGAAUCAGCAUGUCGCGGUGAAUACGUUCUCGGGCCUUGUACACACCGCCCGUCAAACCAUGAGAGUUGGUAAUACCCGAAGCCGGUGGCCUAACCGUAAGGAGGGAGCCGUCGAAGGUAGGACUGAUGAUUGGGGUUAAGUCGUAACAAGGUAGCCGUA
rnacentral:rRNA from 1 species